CCCCGCGUGCCCACACCUUGCAGUUUAUAUAGAAGGCGCCGCCGGGCCGAUUCGCGGCUCUCUGGGACCCGAGAGUUCUUUGGAAGGAGAGCGAGAGCGAGCCGGGGAGCGGGCGAGCUCCGAGGGGGUGUGGGUGUAGGGAGAGAGAGCAGGCAGCGGCGGCGGCGGCAGCGCUGGGGAAAAGCGGAUUCCGCCCGGAGCCACACCGAGGGGAGCUCGCGGUCGCGACUUGCCGCCCUAAGCACUCUCCCAAGUCCGGCCCGCUCGGCGAGGACUUCCGUCUCCUGGCCGACCCUUGUCAAGCAAGCUGGGAUCUAUGAGUGGAAAGGUGACCAAGCCCAAAGAGGAGAAAGAUGCUUCUAAGGGUAAGCCCGCCUGCCGAGUCCGCCGGCUUCCCUUCCCUAGCUUUCCCUCGCCCGCUCGCGUGCGCGCCGCCCUUCGGCGGCUCCCGGCCGCCCUCCUGGAGCCUAAGCUGCCCGUGACCUCUGCGACCCCGGGCGAGAAAGGGGGGGCCGGGCCGCUGCGGGGGGGGGGGUUCUGGGUUUGCACCACUUUCCCUCCUUCCUCGUGGAAUUGUCGCCCCGCGAGUGUCUCCAGCCUCUUCCACUUCCCCUCUGGACGCACCGGGGUGGCGCUGCGGGCAGACGAAGCUGCUGCAGCCCCGGGCGCCGGGCACAGCGCUGCCUGCUCCUGGCCGGCCGCCCCUCUGUGCGAGUGCUUGUGUGUGCGUGUGCGCGAGUGUGCAUAUGUGUGCUGCGCGGGUGCAACAUGGUGACAUACUCAGGAAUCUGCCCCGCUCCGAGAACCCGAGCCCGAAUCCACCUUCAACCCCCCUCUCCCCGCCCCCAAUGCAAACAAAGAGCCUGGCCGAGACGCAAGACCCCUCCCCCACCCGCCUUUCCCCUUCACGCCCCCUGCUCCCCAACUCUCCACGUCCCCUCCCCCGAAAGCAGGAGGUUGCAACCUUCGACACGCCGCGUGCAAAAGUGAGCAAUCCCGGUGCCCCGGCGCCGCCCGCGCUGCGCCUCGGCAGCCUCGCCAAACCCCAGGAGAACAAAGGCUCCGGUCCCCUUGCCACUAGUGCCCGGGCGCGAGCGGGCCUCCGUGGGAGGGGAGAGUCCCCUCCCUAAGCUCUCUGGGGUUUAGCCACCUGGCCCGCGGGCGCCCGGCCGCGGGUCCCCCGGAGAGCGCUUCUCGGCCUGGGGCCUCCCACCGGCGGGUUGGGGAGGCGCAGCGCAGCGGGGCUCAGGCUGGGAGAACUCGGGAGAAGGAAGGGGCGUCCCCCUGACCCCCCCACCCCCAGCUCUAGCGGUUGCCUUGCUGAGGGACCCGGCUUAGCUCCGGAAUGUAAACUGGAGACGGCCUCCUUGGAGACCCGGGUGCGGACAGAGGCGCUGAGAGGGGGUGUGGUAGAGCUCCGGGAAAAGGGCAGGUGCCUUAGGCAUGGCCACAGAGCCGACGCUGGAGCGGGCCCCUGGCACGCCGAACCGCAGCGACCCACGCCGAGUCCUCGCUGCUGCAGGCGUGGGGCUGCAGUGGGGGGAGCCCCAGCUUUCGUUCACGGGGCCCCAAUUCCUCCUUGAGCCCAGGGGGUUCCCUGCCCUCCCACUCCUUUCCCUCUUUUUCUCCUCUCCUCCUCCUCGCCUCUCCCCAUCCCUCAGAGCGUUCCUUCCCCGGAGAUUCUAGGGCAGCGCCAGCCCUCCCCCGCGGAAAGUUGUCAAAGUCUGCAGCUCAGGGCCUUCAUCCUUGUUUUUAAAUGGAGCCGGUUCUCUCCCAUCUAGACGAAAAAGCGUCGACGAGAGGCUCGAGAAGUUUGUGGGGGGCUCUAGAUCUGUUGGGCCAGGGGUCAACACUGGCCUGUCUUAAGGCUGGAGGUCACCUCACUCACACCCGCUGGCUGUCUGAUGGAAACCGCCACCUGGAAAGUAGAACUCCUCCUGCUAGACUUUUCCAGAGCUUGCCUAAUUGUUGUGCAUUUUAAGUAGGCAUUGGUAUGAUGAGCGAAAGUGACUUCCGGUGGUUUGUUUCCACCCAGGGCCCCCAAGGGUAAAGCUCUUGAAAACUGUAGCCCCCAUUGAUCCCAGGCAAGUGAUUGUCCUUCUGCAUCUGGGAGUGUUUCAGAUUUGUUUCUGGAACUUUGGUCCCUGCUUUCCAUCAGGUGGUUACCCAAGGUUUAUUUCAGGCUAUCUUUGGGAGGACCCUGAAACCAAAUUCAUUCACAGAAAAGGAGAUGCUGUUUUAGGAAGGUAAUCUGUAAUUGUCCAGAAGGGCGUAACAAGCCUGGAAACCUGAGGACAAGUUUCCGGAACUCAAUAAUGAAAAUUUUCACUAGGCGGAUGUCAUAACAUUUUCUUAUGUUGACUCACCACGUUUGAAAGCGAAUACCUCUCUGUAGGAAUUGUGUAAUUAGCAUUUGGAAUUAUGGUUGUAAUUAGAAUAAAUUAAAGUAAUUUUACAAGGCAACUUUUCAGAGGGGAGUUGACUUUCCCGAGGAGAUGGGAAUCUUACGGCUGCUGAGAGCCGGAGUCCCAUUCGGCCUUUCUGUUGGUUGUUGAAUUUAGAGCAUUUUCGAUACAGUGAAUGCCUGAUGGCCCUUAGUAUUUUACCCUUUUACGAAUGUUCAGAGUCUUCUGUGACGAGCUCGUAAAGACAACUUUUUACCUUGGAGAUGAGAGGUACCAGGUCUAUUUAUAUUUUCAACCAAUAAACUUUAUUGACCAUAUUCACGAGGAGGUUUGGUUAUUUACAAAUUUCCUCCGUGUAGGUAAUGUUCUUCGGACAUUUUCAAGCUAAGUGACUCAUGAGCACACUCUGUGCAACAGAGCAAGAUACAGGAUUGAACAUCUAAUGGGUACUUUGAAUAUACACGCUUCUUUAUGAACACCGGCGCGACGAAUGAUUGAAUCAAGUCAAAUAAUUUAGUAGCAGUUUGAAUGAAUUUCCUAAUCUGUUUUCAGAGCCGACUGCUCAUUGAAAUUCGGCCUCCCACCCCAUCAUUUGGGAUUCAUGCCCAAAGCCUAUCAUAACUGCAUAGAACAUUAUCAUAGAGUGCAGCGGUUCUGGAGUUUCGGGAGCACAGGUAGUAGAUGAUGAGUAGGUUCUUCUGUGCCGCUUAAUGAAAUACGGCUUUCGGGGCAUAGAGAUUGCUGAUUGUCUUUUUAAAUGACGCCCUUCGACUCAUGGGGCUUAAAACCAGUGAUGGACAAUGAUCUUUCCGAUAACCUUUUCCAUAAGGUAGCCAGACAGGACCAGACAGACCCUCCUCUUGGGAGGGGAGAGGGGAAGCGUGAUUCUAUUUGAAACUAUUAAAAUGGCCUCUUACGCAGCACAUCAUCUUUUGUGUGUUUAUUUAGGCUCUGCGCAAACUUUUAAGCUGGCAGAGGUAUACAUAGUUGGGGGCACUCGGCUCCUGAACAGGAGGCCCUGUUUCCAUUUCAGGGACAAGGAAAGCAUUACCGUUUGUUUGCUCAAGCAGAUAGGCACUUAGCUUUGACUCACUCGUCUCUGCCCUGUCUCUGCCCUGUCACCUAAGAUCUUUACCCCAUUUCUUCUUCGGAAAAGCACUCUGUUAAGGCUGUGUCUGGUUUACUGCCACUGUGUUCCUGUGGCAUCCAGAAAACGCCGUCUGUUACAGAUAAAUCCAAACCGUUUGUGGAUCAAGUGAAAGCGCUGGCUGGUCCUCAUGUUCAAAACUGUCCUUUGGUUUGUAGCUACCUGUUUGGAGUUGGGUGUGUUUUUUCAGCAGUCCCUUCCCAUGUGCUUAGCCAGGGAGCCAUCACAUCCAGGCAAGUCUCAAGGCCACAUGGGUUAUGGCUUCUCUCUGUGCUACGGGCAGCACUAAGGUCAGGCCGGCUCUCUGCUGGCCGCGGGGCCGUGGAGGACAAUUCCACGCACAGGCUGAGAAGCCGGCCACUUGCACAGCUGUUGCUCUAAUAGCUGGCGGGGCCCACGCGCACGUAUGGGCUCAGCUCCUGCCUGGCCUCUUCCAGUAGCCUCUCUAGCCGUACCCAAGAAAGACAGGGCAUUGUGGUCGGGUGGCCAGUGUAUCGAGUCAUGAACCCCGAAUGCCAUUCCGAAAGCUCUUCUUGGUCUUGGUGGAUUAGUGCAGUUGCUUCUGUCAAGUGUCUUUCCCAGGCUUGGGCCCGGCGAAGCCGGUGUUUAGAGGCAUCCAUCGCCCCGCCCCCAGCCCCUUCCAUGAAAUCAUGACGUUGGUCCCUUCUUAUUAAAAACCAACAACCGGGGAGUUCCCGUCGUGGCGCAGUGGUUAGCGAAUCCGACUAGGAACCAUGAGGUUGCGGGUUCGGUCCCUGCCCUUGCUCAGUGGGUUAACGAUCCGGCGUUGCCGUGAGCUGUGGUGUAGGUUGCAGACGCGGCUCGGAUCCUGCGUUGCUGUGGCUCUGGUGUAGGCCAGUGGCUACAGCUCCGAUUGGACCCCUAGCCUGGGAACCUCCACAUGCCAUGGGAACGGCCCAAGAAAUAGCAAAAAGACAAAAAAACCAAACAAACAAACAAAAAAAAA
rnacentral:lncRNA from 1 species